rnacentral:rRNA from 1 species
AGUGAACGCUGGCGGUAUGCCUAACACAUGCAAGUCGAACGGCAGCACAGUAAGAGCUUGCUCUUACUGGUGGCGAGUGGCGGACGGGUGAGGAAUACAUCGGAAUCUACUUUUUCGUGGGGGAUAACGUAGGGAAACUUACGCUAAUACCUCAUACGACCUACGGGGGAAAGCAGGGGAUCUUCGGACCUUGCGCGAUUGAAUGAGCCGAUGUCGGAUUAGCUAGUUGGCGGGGUAAAGGCCCACCAAGGCGACGAUCCGUAGCUGGUCUGAGAGGAUGAUCAGCCACACUGGAACUGAGACACGGUCCAGACUCCUACGGGAGGCAGCAGUGGGGAAUAUUGGACAAUGGGCGCAAGCCUGAUCCAGCCAUACCGCGUGGGUGAAGAAGGCCUUCGGGUUGUAAAGCCCUUUUGUUGGGAAAGAAAAGCAGCAGGUUAAUACCCCGCUGUUCUGACGGUACCCAAAGAAUAAGCACCGGCUAACUUCGUG